rnacentral:rRNA from 1 species
CACGGGGGGAGCAAGCGUUGUUCGGAAUCACUGGGCGUAAAGGGCGUGUAGGCGGUUUGGUAAGUGGGAUGUGAAAUGCCUCGGCUCACCCGAGGACCGGCAUCCCAAACUGCCAAGCUUGAGUAUGGGAGAGGAUGUGGGAAUUCCUGGUGUAGCGGUGAAAUGCGUAGAUAUCAGGAGGAACACCGGUGGCGAAGGCGCACAUCUGGCCCAAUACUGACGCUGGAGGCGCGAAAGCUAGGGGAGCAAACGGG